CAACGAUCGAGAUGGGAAUUUAAGAGCAUCGAAGAAUAUCCAGUAUACGUAUAUGUGUAUAUGUAUAUCAUAGCUUUACCAAUUUUUCUGCGGACCAAUACCUACUGUGAUACCAAAAUUAUUGAAUCAACGUCGUUCAAGUCUACCGAACAUUGGAAAAAAGUGGGAUCAAGAUCUGACGGUUAAAUAUACGACUCGAACGAGCCGGAUGAACGAUCCGAAUUGCUGAAUUUUGCACAUUUGAUUCUGACAAAUUGACACCAUCUGAGAAUUCAAAUAUAAAAUAGCCGUCUGAAGAGAAGACGAGCGUUGCGAGAGAAAAAAAUGUCGACAAAUGAGACCUGCA
rnacentral:misc_RNA from 1 species